rnacentral:lncRNA from 1 species
AUGCCACCAAAGAACCAAGAAAUGGGACCUCAGCAGACUCAGUGACUCUGCCAGUGCCUUGGACUUGACUGCCGGCUUCCAGAACAGUGAGAAGUAAACUUCUAUUGUUUACAAUCCACCUGGUCUAUUGCCCUUUGUUAUAGUACCACCAACAGACUAAGACACACUCUCCUGCUUUACCCAAUCUGCCUACUGGGGCUGCCUGUGUUGAAUGCCUCUUAGGAUGCAUCCUUUUAUUUUCAUGGAGAUGGGGCUCUGAAACAUUUCUAGAGGCUCUGACUAAGGCAGAAGCAAGGGGAUACAAAGGGAUAAGCAAUUGCCUACUCUCUUUGAGGAAAUUAAUGACCCAGGCUGAGCUGCCUUUGUCCUUGGAUGACAAGGAUGUUAAAAACUGCAUGAAUCCCUCCCAUCUCUGCCACAGUCUGAGAAGAUCAUACAGACUUUAUACAGACUGUGGACAUGCAGGUCAAAGUCAUCAGGCCUGGAAUCCUGAGCCUGAUGAAAAUAGAAAACAGCUUCAUGUUUGAGUAAAAGCAGAAAAGUUGGCAUAGGUCCAUCUAGAUGACCAAGUUCUCCAUACUGAAAAUCAACCUAUCACUGAAAAUAUGUUCCUGAUCCAAACAGAACUAGCGUUUGACCACUUGCAGCAGGGGUUGAAGAGUCUGCUGAAACCCGAGCUCCUGGGAAUCAGGACCCACCUGCCAUGGCCCCUCUGGAUCCCCCAUCUCAGUCCAUUUGUGCUGCUAGAACAGAACCCCACAGCCUGGGUAAUUCACAGAGCAGACAUUUGUUUGGCGUGGUUCUGGAGGCUGGGAGAUUCAAGGUCAAGGUGCCAGCUGGUUCGGUGUGGGAGGAGGGCUGCCUCCUCAGGUGGGGAGGAGCACUGUGCCUUCGCGUAGCAGAGGGUGGAAGGACCUGCUGACCAACCGCUAGAGGCAGCCUCUUUCCCAAGGGCCUCGGCCCUCUGGGAGGAGCAGCCCUCAGGCCUGAUCACCC